rnacentral:lncRNA from 1 species
AAAGUAAAUCCAGUCUGCUCCCCCCCUAGAUAUGCCACCUUUCCAAAACAGUGCUGUCAUUUCAGCCUGAGAGAAACCAAGAAAAUCUCCCUGGCCGGAUUGUGCAGCAGUAUCAAGUCCAAGUCAAGUUUCAGCUCAUCUGAGUGUGCUGCCAUGGACUGACUUCACUUCCUUGCUCUUGAGUCAUUCAAGUUCAAUGGCAGGUCAAAAGUCAGGAUGACUGGCAAUGAACUGAGAUGCAGUGGAUGGCAAUGGUGUCUUCAAUGUUUUUCCAGCUUAAGUCAAGGGGCAAGACAAAAAAGUCAGGAUGACUGGUGGUGACCUGGGGUGCAGUGGAAGAAUUUUGUGUCUUUGAUAUAUGACCAAGCUCUAAGCACUCCACAAUGCCUGCUUCAGCUGUCUUCAUGGCCAUUGAAACAAAUUGUUCUCAUUCACCCAUUCUGCUGGAAAAAGUCUUCGCAUUCUUGAGAUAUACAAGAUGGACUGCUCCAGAAGACUCACCCAAAAUCAGAAUAUAAGAACCUUGCCCUUAGAAGGAUACUUUGGAGCACCUUCCUGCUAAAUGGACCUAUGUCUCUGUGAUCCUCAAGGCAGAACUGCCUUCAUGUGAUUUAUUCUCACAUAUGUGUAUGUUAGUGAAUAUGCCUGAAUUGUAUUUUGGGUUCCCUUUUCUUUCCUUUUCUGUCUCUUCACCAUAGCUUGCAAUAAAACCAUGUAUUAAACUUAUUCCUUUGAUUUU